ensembl:snRNA U6 U6 spliceosomal RNA
GUGCUUGCUUUGGCAGCACAUCUACUGAAACUGGAAUGAUACAGAGAAGAUUAGCAUGUUUCCUGCCCAAGGAUGACACACAAAUUCAUGAAGCAUUAAGUAUUUUU